rnacentral:rRNA from 1 species
UACAGAGGGUGCAAGCGUUAAUCGGAAUUACUGGGCGUAAAGCGCGCGUAGGCGGUCGGGUCAGUCGGUUGUGAAAACCCCGGGCUUAACCUGGGAAUUGCAGUCGAUACUGGCCGGCUAGAGUGUGGAAGAGGGAAGCGGAAUUUCAGGUGUAGCGGUGAAAUGCGUAGAUAUCGGAAGGAACACCAGUGGCGAAGGCGGCUUCCUGGUCCAACACUGACGCUGAGGCGAGAAAGCGUGGGUAGCGAACAGG